CAUAUGGCAAAGGGCCUACUUUUCAGAAUAUUAAGGAUACAUUAUUGUUCCGCUUGGACUUCAGCUCUUAUCACUGGAAACCUGCUUUUUGGUCUGAAUUUCUGAAGAACCAGAGAAUCCUUAGAGAGAGAAAGAGACAGACCAAAACAUGGAAAAAUAAAAUCUAUGCUCUACUGAAGAGAACAUUUUUUGUUUGGUUAAAUAAUCUACAGGAUUUUGUGCUAGAAAAAUAAAGUCAGGCACAUAAAAGCUGGUUAAUGGCAAGACCAAGACUAAAGACUGAAACUCAGGCCAUUGGACCUCUGCUUACUAUUAAACCACAUUUAGAAAGACAGAAUCUUCUAGAUCCCUUUGGCACUGUGCCUCAGGCCUCUCCCAGUCAACAGCCAGAGAACAUUGUUCAUUUGGGAUAGAGAGGAAAAGGAUGUUGAAUCCAUGGAGUGGAGAACACUGCCAAACUGCCAUUUUUUCCUCUCUUCUUUCUUUGGGUGUAAGACUUCAUUGACAUGAAAGGUAUAAAUAAUG